AACCCAUGUUGAGGACAUUUCCGCAAGAGCUCCUUGAAAUUAUCCCAUGUCUCAAAUAGAGAAUUCAAUUCCUUUUGCACAAAAGAUGAUAUUUCAUUCCUAAGCUU